UCUCAGUUCGGAUUGGAGUCUGCAACCCGACUCCAUGAAGCUGGAUUCGCUAGUAAUCGCGCAUCGGCCACGGCGCGGUGAAUACGUUCCCGGGCCUUGUACACACCGCCCGUCAAGCCAUGGAAGCCGGGAGUGCCUGAAGUGCGUGACCGCGAGGAGCGCCCUAGGGUAAAACUGGUGACUGGGGCUAAGUCGUAACAAGGUAUC
rnacentral:rRNA from 1 species